AGAGCUUGAAGCCAAUACUCACAUGGCACCUACAAUCAGGAGCAGAGAGAAGUGAAUGCAUGCCCACUCCCUUGCUCCUGCUCAGCCAGGCUUCUCCACUCUCAAUAUAAUUUAGGACAUCCCCCACCCCAAUGCCUGGGUAGCAGUCCCAUCUAUAGUGUGCCCUCACAGUGUGCUGGGUCUUCGUACAUCUAUUAACUAAGACAAUCCUCCACAGACAUUCCCAUAGACUAGCCCAAAACAAACUAUCUCUCACAGAGACUCUCUUCCUAUGAUUCUAGAUUGUGUCAAACAGAAAAUUAAAAAUAAACAGCAUAGUCCUUAUGGUAAUGCAGACUUGAAAGAACAUCAUCAUAUGGCCAUAGUUCUGGAGUCCUGCAUCGUUAUCUUCAGUACAGUAUGCUCUGCACUUGUGGUCAGCAACAGCAGUGCUGUGACAGACGUGUAAUACUUCAGUCCUCAGCACAACAAUGCUUAUCACCAGAAGCGACCACCCUAAAAUGCCACCUACUGUAUGACUAUGGGGACAUCAGAGAAGAUGUGACUCACACGGACCAUGUUCACAUAGAGAACUGACAGUGCAAGACCAGAUUCAAUAAGGAGGAGUGGCCCCACAGCGCCCUGGGAGGUCGUCUGCAAGUAGGACACAUCACAUGCAGAACAAGGAACAACUUCUCAAACAACGUGACCCGCCAAGCCCAGGCAGAGUGGCUCCUCGGCAGGUCAUCUCUGUUGUGAGCUCAGUGCUCAUUCUUAAAUGGCCAUCCACUGGCUGCCUCUCCGACAGCCACAGAACUGGGUUUGGGUGUGCUAUCUUUCAGCUACAGAAGAACAAAAGAGCAAGCUACUGAAGGCCGCAGAAGGAAGGCACAGUAAAUGAAGGACCUGCAGGGCCGGAGGUGACAGGAUGAACAAACUGAGCCUGACUCACUUGCUCAAGGUCACAGGGCUGCGACCUGCUAAGACCAGACUGAAGGCAGUUCUACCUCUGGAGCCCUGUUCUGCCCAAUAUAUCUGUCUAAUAUUGCAUCAUAAUAGCACGUUAUGAAUUAAAUGUUACAUUUUAAAGGAGAAAAACAGUGUCUUCCUCUAGGAAAAAGGAUGAAAUAUUUUUCCCUUA